ACAGUAUUUAGUACUGUCAAAUUUAAUCGUUGUACAAAAAAUACUAUCAAAAAGUAUGUGCCCAUGUUGAUAGCCCGUUUAUUUUAUAAUUUUUCGAAGCCUUAUAGCAUGCCGUAUUGUUGAUUAAUCUUUGUAUAACAUAUUUAUAGUGCAAUCCAAACAGUAACCUAUCUUUCUCAUAUUUCCCAGUCGUGUAUACUAUUCUAUAUAUCGCGUACAUUCCGGCAUUUUAUACCCCCCUCAUCUAUUUUGAAAUUUUUUUCCUCAGCGAAAAGUUAUUAGUCACCCUCGUUAGUGUGAGUGGAUUUAAUUCGAUCUCAAAAAAGUUUCAAAAGAAAAAAAAAACAUUCUUUGUGCUAUGGCUGACUCUGCAAGCGAAUCCGAUUCAAGCAGCAUUGACGGUGGUCCUAUAAUGAUGCCACCUAGUCCCAUUACAAGGGAACAAUUGCAAAAAAGAAUUGAGAGUCUGCAGCAACAAAAUAGGGUGUUAAAGGUUGAAUUGGAAACAUAUAAAUUACGAGUUAAAGGGUUACAGGAGGAAAACAGGGAUUUGAAGAAAGCCUCAGUAAUUAUUCAAGCAAAGGCAGAACAGGAAGAAGAAUAUAUAAGUAACACCUUGUUAAAGAAGAUUCAAGCACUUAAAAAGGAAAAAGAAACAUUAGCACAUCACUAUGAACGAGAGGAAGAGUGUCUUACUAAUGAUCUGUCCAGAAAACUGACACAGCUCAGACAAGAAAAAUGCAGAUUAGAGCAAACUUUGGAGCAGGAGCAGGAGUGUUUAGUAAAUAGGUUAAUGAGAAAAAUUGAGAAGUUAGAGGCUGAGACUUUAGCUAAACAAAGCAAUCUUGAACAGCUGCGCAGAGAGAAGGUGGAGCUUGAGAAUACUCUGGAACAAGAACAAGAAGCCUUAGUAAACAAGCUGUGGAAGCGCAUGGACAAACUUGAAGCAGAAAAAAGAAUGUUACAAAUUAAGCUUGAUCAACCGGUUUCUGAUCCAGCUAGUCCUAGAGAUAUUAGCAAUGGAGAUACUGCAACUAACCUUAGCGCACAUAUUCAAACUUUAAGACAAGAAGUGGCGAGACUAAGGCAGACUUUGGCUAUUAGUCAACAAGAGCAUACUCAGAAGAUGCAGAAAUAUGCUCAAGAAGAAAGGAAUAUCAAAGAGGAGAACAUGAGAUUACAGAGGAAACUUCAGCUCGAAGUUGAGCGCAGAGAGGCUUUAUGUAGACACCUUUCAGAAAGCGAGAGUUCUUUAGAGAUGGAGGAAGAGAGGCAUUUCAAUGAACAAGUAUUAGCGCUUAGGCAGCAUACUGUGUCUCCAAUUCCUUAUAAUCCGUCUCCAAGUCAGAGCCGGCCAUUAAGCCCAGGACUGGCUUCUCACAUACAAACCACCUCGUCCCGUCUUUCUGAUGCUCUGCUGGGCGCUGUGUCCGGCGUUCCGCCCCCACGAUGCCCCGCCUGCGGUCAGAUGCCCUCCGGCAGCCCCCCAGCUCCGCCACAUCGUAGGCCCUCGGAGCGGUUCGUGAAGCCGGCCGUGCCGGCGCUGAGCGUGAAUUCUCUGCCCGGUGGCGUCGCGGUUCCUCCACCUCCCGUCGCUACUGUGGUGGCGCAGCCGGCCAGUCCUAUGGACACUAGCGUGAGCAAAGAUUAAUAUGCGUUCCCGUCACGCAGACUUUUUGGACUACCCACCAUCCUAAUAAUGAACAUUCUUGGCGUGGUGGUACCACACGGAUCCCAAUGAAACUUUACCCCCUGCUGGAUAUGGCUUUGACACAAUCUCCUACAUUAUUAGUUAUAUGUUGAAUAUUAACAAUGCGUUUUGUAACAUCUAAUUAACAUAACAACUGAAAAUCAUAAAAACGAGUUUUCAGCUACAAAAGCCGAACGUUUUGAUACAUCGUAUAUUUUUAUCGAUUUGAUGCUUGUUGCUGUAUCGGAAAAUAAUAUAUCCUGUAUUGUACUUAUAUGUAGACUUGCUUGAACAUUUUUUUUAAAAACAAUUCGACUUUUACGAGCGCAUGAACAUUGACAUUAUGUUUUUUUAGUGGGAAAUUCCUAUACAGAUUUAUUUGGUCAUCGUAGAAGCGUGGCCUGGAUUUUAACGUGUAAGACAGUGAUGGAGACAGCGUAAUGAAAAAUCAAAUGUAUUAAAAAGAGAAAACAUUUGGGUUGAUACAUUUUCUUUUAUGCGGUAUUGCCGGAUUUAGCGUCACGAAAAAUGUUGUAUCUAUACAAAACACUAAUUGGCAAAACGUUGAGGUAAAAGAAAUAGAACAAUACACACAGAAAAAGGUCAGAAGUUGUUUAGAGAGUACCGAUUUCUAUUAGUUAAAUAUUUUUUAAGUUUUGCCUUAAAUAUUUUUUCUAAAUUUACCCUAAAAAAUUUGCCAUGUUGUUAAGUAAAUGUUUAAGAGAAAUGAACAUUAAAUACGUAGCUUAAAUAUAGUAUCUUCGUUUAUUAUGUUAUUUCACGUACGAACUGGCAACACUGUAUGUCGUUUUUUAUUUUGUCUCUCUGUCUGUCGACUGGUCGUAUAUAUUUUGUCUUUGUCGUAUGCAUUAAAAUACAGACCACGAAAAUACAGUGACCAGAGUUAGUUACUGUACACGAUUUUAGAUUUUUUUUUAGAAAGUUUUCAUUUAAUAUUAUCUUUAUUUCUACUGUGAGUGCUUACGAACGUUUAAAUAUUGUGAUGUAAUAAUUGAAUUAAAAAAAACUAACGAGCGACUUCAAAGAAGUCGCUUUUUCAUUGCCAAGUUUACACUCUUUUUGUGAUAUUUAAAAUUAUAAAACAAUGAAAAUAGUGGGCGUAUGAAACUUGUAAACGAUUAUAUAUAGUGUAUUUUCUAUUAAACUUUUAAUGUCCAUUAAUUGUACAGAAUGUCUCAUUUUCGAUAUGCUUGCUAAAUAGGCAAAAAUGGCGAAAAGGGGACACCCUGUACAGACUGCUCUAGUUUUUAAUUCCAAAAUUUUUAAACAAUACACAGUACAUAUAUUUUUCUUCUGUUUUAAUGACAACAUUCAGGUCAUUUAUUUGAAAUCUACCAUAUGACCGAAAAAAAGGGCGUCAAAGUGACCUUUAGAAUGACAAGCUGAUAAUUUCUAUCGAGCUUGCGUCUAUAAAUCUUUAUUAAAAAUUGACAAAAAACAAUUGUCUAAAAAUAUUUUUGGCAUGUGUUGAACAUUUUUAUAAUUUUCCACAUAAAUAUUAGUUUUUGAUGUCAAUUUUUAAAAAACGAUAGAUACUAGAGGUAGGCCCUGCAAAUUAUCAGCAAUUAUUGCGAAAAGUCAUUGUGACCCUGUUCUUUUUCAAUCGCAUGGUAUAAAAUCCAAAAUUUUGGUAUAAAAACUCGAUCUGUCUGUAUAUUCUCGGUAUUUUUCUUCUUCUGUGUCUUUAAAGAGAGAACACAAAAUGUUUUAAAAGAAAUGCCUAGAUUAAUUCACAGUAUUUUAAGAAAAUAAAGUAACUUUGAAAAUCAGAACCGUUUUAAGUUUGCUCAUCGAAUAUGAAAACACAAAAAGAAGCUUGAUUAUGUAGACUAUGUAAUUCAAUUUUAUAUGCGUCUGGUUAUGUAGCUAUAUUAUAUAAAUGUUGAACUGGUGUUUGUUAAAGUUUUCUGGAUGUUUUCUCAGUAUUAUUUAGAACUUUUCCAAAUUUUGUUUUUUUACUUUUUUACUCUAAUCCUUAGCAACAAAAAAUAUUCAUGUAGGACUUAAAUUAGGUAAAAAAUAUUAUAUUACAAAAUAAUAAUAAUAAUAUUUGUUCUUUUUUAUCAAAAAUACUGAAUUUAAGUUGCUAAGAUACUGAGUGAAGUAGGCAGUAAAAUUGCAUUUUUUGCGCUACCUUGACGCUAAAAUUCACUUUAAAAAUUGGAAGGAAACUUAAAACGCUUGUAUUUUUUUAAUAGAAUUAUAUUUUCUAUAUGUUCAUAGAGAAUGUACAUUUUCUGUGUACAAUUUCUGGUAUCCAGUAUCUUCUCCAAAAAAAUCAUAGUUCAACAGAAUUUUGAUUUUCAGAGUUGCCUAUAAAAACUCGCUGUUAGUAAUAAGCAAUAAUGGGCUUUAGCUUAUGGUGUAUAUUAUCUUUCACAAAAGUUUAAAAUAUUAUUACAGGGUGGUCAAAAAAUAUAGUCCGUCGAAAAAAGUUCACAUACUACUUAAUAAAGGCGAAUCUAGUUAACUAAACCAUUUGAAUAUUUUUCGAACACCUUGUACAAAUUAAAAUCUAAGACUAUAUUUGUAAAGUUCUUAUCUAGCCAUACACAAAUGUUCCAAUAAUAGGAUUUACGUUGAGAACUGACGACUUUCUUCAGUUUUUAUUUUUGAGUUUCUUAUAAAUAUUAUGAAAAAUUAACCAAGUGAUAUUAGAAUAAAAAAGUAGGUUUCUUCGUUAGGUUGCCCUGUUGCAGCUAAAAUUAGAAUGAUGUAGAAUAUAAAAACCUUGACUCAAAUCAGAUUAUUUUUUAGUUUAGGUUAGGUAGGUUUUCAUUUUUUUUUCUUAUUUACUUUAUUUGUUAAAAUAUUUUUUUCUUAGAAAAAAGUAACAAUAUUUAUUACUAAAGUCUGUCCAACCAGCCAGGGAAGAUAUCGGCAGACGACAUCCAAAAAAUGGCGGAAAAUACAAUUUACAUGUGCAUUAAAAUGAUAGACACAACUGUCAUCGUUAUGCAUCUUCUCGUUGGACAGACUAUAUAUAACCUAUGAUAGAAUGAAAACAAGGUCAAAACAGGCAUGAAAGUAACAUUUGAGUUCUCCAUUUUUUUGUGUUAUCUCUGGAGUUCUUGAGACUGAUAGCUAAUUGUGAGGUAAUUCCUUGUUAGGUUCCUAGAGGUGGCUAUCGGCCUGAUCCACUGCGACCUUCUCAGAUCUAUUGUAGUCCAAUUCCUUGUUAACUGUUUAUAUUUAUUAUAUUGCAAAUACUUCAAGUAAUACACUGGCAAGCUAUUUGUAAGUAAUACACUAAUACACUGGCUAAUACACUUGCAAGCUAUAACUGGCAAGAACCUCAAUAGUAGGCAUAGUAAAACUCGAAUUCAAAUGUUACAUAAUCGACUGUGUGGUCCAUUUAGUCCUACUGUAUUAUACAGGAUGAGUCUGAAAUAAGUGCGCAUAUUUUCAGGGCUGGUACUUCCCGAAUCAUAUAAUAUAACAUUUUAUUUUUACCAUUUUAAAACGUUUACCGUUCAAAACAGUGAAACCAAAGCAAUCAAAACACGCUGUAAGCUUUGUUAGAACUAUAUUAUGAGAACCUCAACCUUAUUUCAGAAGAAAAUCAUAUAAAAUAAUUUUAAUAUAAAACCUCUGACGAGGGGUAGGGGACUCAAGAAACUCACAAUCUUUUAGGAUGUUUAUUUCAAAAUAAACAAUAAAAAUUAAUUUUAUUACUUAAAACAAAUUGAAGGGUCCAGGGGAAAACCAUAUGAUAAGCGUCAUUUUACCAAUUUUACAGGAGAGCACUGGACCACAGAAUAUACACCAUACAGAAGCGACAAAGAGCUUUGAAUAGCAUUGGUCAAAUGGGAACUAAUUGCGUGACGUCACGUUUGACAUCCGUGCGCCUUGAACAGCAUUUCACACUGAAAGAAAAUUGUUAGAUUUUAAUAGAAAAUGAUGAAAAGCAGGUUUAUUUAAUUUUUAAAAACUAGAGGGAUUUAAAUCAGUAUUUUUAUUUAGAGUUAAAAAUAAAUAAAUAAUUAUGAAAUAUAUUUUUUAGUCUUUUAUGCAUAAUAUCUAGAAAUAAUUAUACCUGCGGUCGUGAAUUUUUUUUGGUGUAUAAUUCUUUGACGUCACGUUUGACAGUUAACCAGCAUUGCCCCCUCCUAAAAAUUUUGAAGAAAAUCUCUUUGUCGCUUCUAUAUGGUGUAUAUUUUGUGACUGGACGGCUCGCGGCUCAUUAGGUUCUUUCCGUAUAUUCUAUAUUUUUACUAGGCAUAUGUCAUAGGAUUUAACAACUUAAUUGGCCCUGCAGAGUUUACACAUUUUGUACGGACCAGUUAGACCUACUAUAAUAUUGAUAAAAUCCUAAAAUUAAGAAAUUGGCGCUUAUUAAGUUUUUUCCCUGGACCCUUCAAUUUGUUCAAUUGCCUUCGCAUGGCCGUCGAUCAACUGUCAAUCGAAAAAGUCAAUGGCAGCUGGCUUGGAUGUAAAUACAUAUAUUUUCUUAAUUUUUAUGCUUACAAAGAAGUUUUAUUAAAUUUUUGUGCUUAAAUUAGGUCAAUCCACAUCUAUAUAAUAAAGUAUUAAUAUCUGACGUUUUUACUGAAUCUAUAGAAAAUUUUACAUAUUUACUGUCCGUAAUCUACUACCUAUGUUGCCAUAUUAUCAAGAUAUCAUUUUUACUUGAAAAUUAAAAGAUUCUCCAGAAAUCUUUCAAAAAUACAUUUUUAAUUUCUUUUCGCGAAAAUCCGUAAUAGACGUAUUCCUGGAAUCGAAAUAUACCACCCCUAAAAAUAUGUGUGCACUUAUUUAAGACAUCCUGCAUAAUAAAGAGUGUUUUGCCAUCUUAAGAUGAGUUUAUAUGCAUCCCCCACUCCAAUCAUGUUGACUAAAUUGUAUAAAAACAACACGGCGGUAAAAACAAUGACGGAUGCCUGUAAACCCACACUUAAAAUUUUAAAGCUAUAUUUUUAAAAUUCGAUAUAGAUUCAUUCUCAAAAUGAGUAAAGCUGAACUGCAACUCGGAUCAAAUUGUAGAAACUAAAUAUCUUUAUAAAUUGUUUGAAAAUAUUAUUUUUUGGAAAACGAAUAAUCAGGGUCACUUCUAGAGACUUUUUUUAACCACCCUGUCCUACUCUAGUUAUUUAAUUUCUGUUAAGUUUGUUGCUAAGGUAUAAUAAAGGUAAUUUUUCAAAAUUA
rnacentral:misc_RNA from 1 species